CUGUCUCUGCUCGCCUGCUCCCUUUCCCGUACGCACACACCCGGGAGUGUGAAGGAGCAAGUGCCGACAGCUACAACCGCGAUUCACAGGUUCUUGAAAGGGUUGCUGUUGUUUCCGGACAGUCAUCCCGGGCUGCUGUCCCCAGGCCAUCGAGGCCGACUGCUUAGCCUGCAGCCUGGGCCUGCACUCCUGAGACACUCCGCUGCUAUCCGACUGGGUCCAUGCCCUCUCGCUCCUCAGGUUGGAGUACAGUGGCGUGAUCUUGACUCACCGCAGCCUCCGCCUCCCUGCUUCAAGAGAUUCCCCUGCCUGAGCCUCCUGUGGUCUAUUUAUUUGUUAACCAACUUUAUGUUAUUGCUAUUACGGGGUAUAGCACAUUCCUGAAUGUUCUCUGGGGCUCUCGAAGGGAACUUAGAUAGUAAAGCCUUAAAACAGGUGAGUAGCUGAAACAAAAAUGAGGAUUUCUUAAAGUUUUCUCUUGGGAGAAAGAAAGGAUUUAAGGCUGGGUAUGGUGGCUCAGGCCUGUGAUCCCAGCACUUUGGGAGGCCAAGGCGGGUAGAUCACUUGAGGCCAGACGUUUGAGACCAGCUGGGCAAUAUGGUGAAACCCUGUCUCUACUGAAAUUACAAAAAUUAGCAGGUCAUGGUGGUGUAUGCCUGUAGUCCCAGCUACUUGAGAGUCUGAGGCAGGAGAAUUGCUUGACCUCAGAAGAUGGAGGCUACAGUAAGCUGAGAUCGCACCACUGCACUCCAGUCUGGGGAAGACUAUCUUAAAAAAAG
rnacentral:lncRNA from 13 species